rnacentral:lncRNA from 1 species
CAAAUAAAUUGUUGUUGUACAUGUAUUAAAACAAAAUGAAAUAAAAUAAUAAAAUGCUAACAGACCCAAAAAUAUUAAAAUAACGUGUAAACUUAUUAAUAGUAUGGUAAUAUGUGGCUCCAAAUUUAGUAAGCAUUAAGUAAAAAGCAGCUCUGCCCCAUAACGCCUAUGCUGGGGAUCCCUUGAUCAAUCCAAAUUUAUUUAUUUAUCCAAAAUUAGUAAAGAAGAGUCAAAAAAAAUUAAUCUGUGAGCCACGCGGGUGAAAGUCUUUAAUUUCAGUAAAGAUAUUUGAGAAUUUAGUUUUAAACUGCAUUUACUAUCUAAAUCCUAAAUCAUUUGAUAUGAAGUAACUCCGAGUUAUUGACGAGGCUAAUUUAAGUCCUUCUGUGGUUUUAUUUUGAUGGUCGCGGCCGGAUGUUAUUUUCAAAUUCUGCCCGUCAUGGUUUUAUUGUUGAAAGUGGCUUCCGGAAGUGCAAAUGGCGGUUAUCGCCGUUAGUCGACGGUGGCGACCGGGCAGACGGAGGAGGUUGAGCGGGCGGUUGUUUCACAUGGACCAGCGGCUUCACCGGGGAGGUGCCGGUACUAAAUGAAGAUUUAAAGCCCGUCGUGUUGAAGGGUGUGACAGUUUCCACUUUAUUCACACGGCGUGCUAAUAAUGGCGGUCGGUAAAAGCUGAUGAAGUUCACCAGAGAUAUCUGCCGGCUGCUGGGCUUGGGAGGCGAUGGGCCAGGUGAGGAGGAGAUGGAGGUUCAGGAUGGUGCUCCUGACCCAACAGGCAAAAUAAAGGACCAAGGCUCAUCUCAGGCCCUGAUGAGCAAUGAGGAGAGAGCACGGAGGAGAGCUGAGAGGAGGAGAGCAAAAAGGAAAGUAAGUAAAAAGAAACCAGUCUGACUGACGUGACAUUUUACUUCAAAACUAAUAAGCUGCAACUACAAAUAAAUACAGCACCAACA